rnacentral:rRNA from 1 species
AGCAAUUAUACCGUGAAACUGCGAAUGGCUCAUUAAAUCAGUUAUCGUUUAUUUGAUAGUACCUUACUACUUGGAUACCCGUGGUAAUUCUAGAGCUAAUACAUGCAAAAAACCCCGACUUCGGGAGGGGUGUAUUUAUUAGAUAAAAAACCAAUGCCCUUCGGGGCUCCUUGGUGAUUCAUAAUAACUUAACGGAUCGCAUGGCCUUGCGCCGGCGACGGUUCAUUCAAAUUUCUGCCCUAUCAACUUUCGAUGGUAAGGUAUUGGCUUACCAUGGUUUCAACGGGUAACGGAUUUUUAGGGAAAGAUCCCGGAGAGGGAGCCUGAGAAACGGCUACCACAUCCAAGGAAGGCAGCAGGCGCGCAAAUUACCCAAUCCCGACACGGGGAGGUAGUGACAAUAAAUACUGAUACAGGGCUCUUUUGGGUCUUGUAAUCGGAAUGAGUACAAUUUAAAUACCUUAACGAGGAACAAUUGGAGGGCAAGUCUGGUGCCAGCAGCCGCGGUAAUUCCAGCUCCAAUAGCGUAUAUUAAAGUUGUUGCAGUUAAAAAGCUCGUAGUUGAACCUUGGGCCUGGCUGGCCGGUCCGCCUCACCGCGUGUACUGGUCCGGCCGGGCCUUUCCUUCUGGAGAACCGCAUGCCCUUCACUGGGUGUGUCGGGGAACCAGGACUUUUACUUUGAGAAAAUUAGAGUGUUCAAAGCAGGCCUUUGCUCGAAUACGUUAGCAUGGAAUAAUAGAAUAGGACGUGCGGUCCUAUUUUGUUGGUUUCUAGAACCGCCGUAAUGAUUAAUAGGGAUAGUCGGGGGCGUCAGUAUUCAAUUGUCAGAGGUGAAAUUCUUGGAUCUAUUGAAGACUAACUACUGCGAAAGCAUUCGCCAAGGAUGUUUUCAUUAAUCAGUGAACGAAAGUUAGGGGAUCGAAGACGAUCAGAUACCGUCGUAGUCUUAACCGUAAACUAUGCCGACUAGGGAUCGGGCGAUGUUUCUAUAUUGACUCGCUCGGCACCUUACGAGAAAUCAUAAGUUUUUGGGUUCUGGGGGGAGUAUGGUCGCAAGGCUGAAACUUAAG